rnacentral:rRNA from 1 species
GAUGAACGCUGGCGGCGUGCCUAAUACAUGCAAGUCGAGCGAACAGACGAGGAGCUUGCUCCUCUGACGUUAGCGGCGGACGGGUGAGUAACACGUGGAUAACCUACCUAUAAGACUGGGAUAACUUCGGGAAACCGGAGCUAAUACCGGAUAAUAUAUUGAACCGCAUGGUUCAAUAGUGAAAGACGGUUUUGCUGUCACUUAUAGAUGGAUCCGCGCCGCAUUAGCUAGUUGGUAAGGUAACGGCUUACCAAGGCAACGAUGCGUAGCCGACCUGAGAGGGUGAGCGGCCACAAUGGAACUGAGACACGGUCCAGAAACCGACGGGAGGCAGCAGUAGGGAAUCUUCCCAAUGGGCGAAAGCCUGACGGAGCAACGCCGCGUGAGUGAUGAAGGUAUUCGGAUCGUAAAACUCUGUUAUUAGGGAAGAACAAAUGUGUAAGUAACUAUGCACGUCUUGACGGUACCGAAUCAGAAAGCCACGGCUAACUACGUG